UACGAGAGGUCCAAACGUUAUUCGGAUUCAUCGUGGCGUAAAGGGUGCGCAGGUGGCCAAGUGUGUUAGGCGUGAAAGCCCGGGGCUUAACCCCGGAAUUGCACCUAAAACUACUUGGCUAGAGCAUUGGAGAAGGGAGCAGAAUUCACGGUGUAGCAGUGAAAUGCGUAGAUAUCGUGAGGAAUACCAGAGGCGAAGGCGGCUCCCUGGACAAUUGCUGACACUCAGGCACGAAAGCGUGGGGAGCAAAAGGG
rnacentral:rRNA from 1 species